ACGGGAUUCAAUCUUCUUUCCCUUUCUCUCUUAUCUCUCUCUGGUGAUUGAAAUCUAAGGAACUUAAAGAUCGAAAAUCUAUGGAACUGAAAUUAUUUUCGAGGUGAAAGCUUGGAUUUCGUAUGAAGAUGAUGUUGGCUGAGAUGACUACGACGGCUAGAGGUUAAACGGGCUUGGAGUUUGAAGAUGUUUCCUUCUUGGAUGAUUAUUUUUCGCAUGGAAGUUUCAUUUUGAUAUUCAGGGGAAUGACAUCAUCUUAUUUGACUAUACUGGGUAUCUUUCUUUUUGGUUAACAGUAUGAAAUAUCACAUUCAUUGGCUUUACUGAUCACUAUAUCAUUUUGUUGUUUUGUGCAUAACCUUUGGUUAUGAAAUGCUCAAAUCUUGUUUGAUGUAUACUUGAGUUUCGUAAGUAUGUCCAGUGGUGUUGCGUUGGGGUCGGAUGAUCUAACAGCAUAUGUAGCAUAUUUCAAGAAAUGAGGCUUAAUAGAUAUCUUAUAAAUAAGACUUGAACUGGUGUAUUCAUUUUUA